UACGGAGGGUGCAAGCGUUGUCCGGAUUUAUUGGGCGUAAAGCGCACGUAGGCGGCUUUGUAAGUCAGAGGUGAAAGCCUGGAGCUCAACUCCAGAACUGCCUUUGAGACUGCAUCGCUCGAAUCCGGGAGAGGUGAGUGGAAUUCCGAGUGUAGAGGUGAAAUUCGUAGAUAUUCGGAAGAACACCAGUGGCGAAGGCGGCUCACUGGACCGGUAUUGACGCUGAGGUGCGAAAGCGUGGGGAGCAAACAGG
rnacentral:rRNA from 1 species